ACAUUUCACAGAUGGCACAGAGUGGGGAAGUCAGUGACCCAAGGUGGCAAGCCAGCUCUUGCUGAUGGUCAGGAGCCUCAUUAUCUUAAGACAACACACAGUGGAGACGUGCUUUACGUAAUUGGCCUGCCCUGUGAAAACCCCUGGCUGUUUUUUCAGAUAAGGAGACUGAAGCAUCUAGAGUUGGAGCAAUUUCCACAAGAUCACAGAGCUGAAACCACAGGAAGAGGCCAAUAUGGACUUCUCUGCUACUUUAUUUCCCCUGAGCCUGGUCAGCUUCUUCCAAGGAGAUUACUGGGAGGAAGCUUCUAGGAUUUCUGGACAUGGGAUUCCCUGCUGGUUUCCCCACCUGAUUAUUGAAAUUGAUUUCUGGAGUUGAGGAAAAAAGGCAAGUCAUCAUAUAUCAACCUAUUAUGUGUGUUAGGUUGUUUGCAUUAUCACAUUUAAUCCAUUUGAUGCUGUGAAGGAGCAGGUAGUGUUAUCUGACUCAAGUCUGUCCUUCAAUUAAUCUCACCACCUCCAGGAUUCCUUUAUGCUCUUUGUCAAGAACUCUGGUAGAGCAAAGAAAAUGGGGAUGGUUUGCCACGUUCAAAAAUCAUAUUGACCAAGACUAUCCUCUCUCUCUCUCUCUCUUUUUUUUUGAGACAGAGUCUCACUCUGUCACCAGGCUGGAGUGCAGUGGUGUAAUCUCAGCUCACUGCAACCUCCGCCUCCUGGGUUCAAGUGAUUCUCCUGCCUCAGCCUUCCGAGUAGCUGGGACUACAGGUGCAUGCCACCAUGCCCAGCUAAUUUUUGUAUUUUUAGUAGAAUCGGGGUUUCACCAUGUUGGCCAGGAUGGUCUCGAUCUCCUGACCUCGUGAUCUGCCCGCCUUGGCCUCCCAAAGUGCUGGGAUUACAGGCAUGAGCCACUGUGCCUGGCUGAUAAUCCUCUUUUAAGAAGAAGGGGUAUAUAUUUACCUAGGGAAUUCCCUAGAGAAGAGGCAGAAAGGCAUAAAAGGAGUAUAGUAAACUGAAAUCAAGACAUCUAAAUCUAAGACCUGGCUCCAUUACUGUACCCCUUUGGAACUUUGGGUAAAUUCUUAACUCUUUCUGGGUCUCAAUUUUCUCUUUUAAUAAAACAAAGAUUUGGAGUAAUAAAACUCUAAAUUCCUUUCCAGCCCUAGCACCUUAUGGUCUACAGUGAGACUUCUUAUAUGAUUCUAGUUAGGGUAAAACAAUUCAGGAUUAAUAAUAGUUAUGUUAAGUACACUAGGUUUUUAAGAGCUCAGUUUUGAUUAUGUAUAAUAAUGAGUUUGACAAAAAAAAAAAGUUGAGUAAAGAUGGAUGGCUGAAACCCUCAUUUAGCCUCUCCCUAGACAGGGGAAUGAAUAGUUUGCAAGGGAAAGUUUAUUUUCUGGCAUUGUGCCAGAAGAAAACAGGAUAGGCCUAAUAAUAGUCUAAAAGAUGCAAGCACUUUGAGAUUCUUGCUUCCAUACCAUAGUCAGAUUCUCAGGGUCUCAGUAGACAUAGCCUUGGAGUUGGGCAGGGAGUCUUAAAGCAGCGAUCAUCACCUAGGUUUAAGCUGAGAUUCUUACUUUACAACGUGCCUUCUGCCCAAUGACUAAUGAAUGACACAGACAGUUAUGGGUACUGGGAGGUGGGAAUAAUCACUUAAGGGUGGCAGUGUUGGAGAAAAGUAUAAGGAGGUGACUGGGAGACUGGACCUUCUUUGAAGGUUGGGUAUGAUCUAGAGAAAUAGAGAAUAGUUGGGGUCUAAGAGCACAGAAAGAGAUGGAAUAUAUAGUAUAGCUGAGGAAAAAUAAAUGGAGCAGCUUAACACAAGCAACUCUGACAUAGAAGUCUUCUGAAUCAAAAGCAGAAUUUUGAGGCACUCAAGAAAGAGGGGUAUUAACUAUAUCGGUUAUAAACUUUUUAAAAAAGUGAUUUUACAGAGACUAAUCUGGAGCGGGUAGUUUUGAUAUCUU